UAAGGAAUAUUGGUCAAUGGACGCAAGUCUGAACCAGCCAUGCCGCGUGGAGGAUGAAGGUCCUCUGGAUUGUAAACUUCUUUUAUCUGGGACGAAACACUUCUUUUCUAAGAGGCCUGACGGUACCAGAUGAAUAAGCACCCGCUAACUCCGUGCCAGCAGCCGCGGUAAUACGGAGGGUGCAAGCGUUAUCCGGAUUCACUGGGUUUAAAGGGUGCGUAGGUGGGUAUGUAAGUCAGUGGUGAAAUCCCCGAGCUUAACUUGGGAACUGCCAAUGAUACUAUAUAUCUUGAGUACCGUAGAGGUAAGCGGAAUAUGUCAUGUCGCGGUAAAAUGCGUAGAUAUGACAUGGAACACCAAUUGCGAAGGCAGCUUACUAUGCGGUGAUUGACACUGAGGCACGAGAGCGUGGGUAGCAAACA
rnacentral:rRNA from 1 species